rnacentral:rRNA from 1 species
AACGAACGCUGGCGGCAUGCCUAACACAUGCCAGUCGAACGAGACCUUCGGGUCUAGUGGCGCACGGGGGCGUAACGCGUGGGAACCUGCCCUUAUGUUCGGAAUAACUCCCCGAAAGGGGGGCUAAUACCGGGUAAUGUCUUCUGACCAAAGAUUUAUCGCCUUUGGAUGGGCCCGCGUUGGAUGAGCUAGUUGGUAGGGUAAAAGCCUACCAAGGCGACGAUCCAUAGCUGGUCUGAGAGGAUGAUCAGCCACACUGGGACUGAGACACGGCCCAGACUCCUACGGGAGGCAGCAGUGGGGAAUACUGGAAAAUGGGCGAAAGCCUGAUACAGCAAUGCCGCGUGAGUGAUGAAGGCCUUAGGGUUGUAAAGCUCUUUUACCCGGGAUGAUAAUGACAGUACCGGGAGAAUAAGCACCGGCUAACUCCGUG